rnacentral:rRNA from 1 species
UACGUAGGGUGCAAGCGUUGUCCGGAAUUAUUGGGCGUAAAGAGCUCGUAGGCGGUUUGUCGCGUCUGCUGUGAAAACUCGGGGCUCAACCCCGGGCCUGCAGUGGGUACGGGCAGACUAGAGUGCGGUAGGGGAGACUGGAAUUCCUGGUGUAGCGGUGAAAUGCGCAGAUAUCAGGAGGAACACCGGUGGCGAAGGCGGGUCUCUGGGCCGUAACUGACGCUGAGGAGCGAAAGCGUGGGGAGCGAACGGG